UGGGUUAGACCCAUUACUAACUUCAGUAGUGCUUUCACCAAUAGUUGAGAUCAAGCCUAGGGUGGUGAGCUAGAACUGUAUUUGAUUCUGCCACCUCCUAAAAUUUUGACCAUCAAACUUUUCAGGUUUAUCACUAAGGUUUUCAGAUGUGUGGGAAGCCAUUGAUUAGAAGAGAAGAAAGAGAUUGAUUUGUAGCUUAACACAGUUUUGAUACCUAUA
rnacentral:lncRNA from 1 species